AUGCUUUGCUUAAUUAUCUUUUGCAUCACACUUUUUGUUCUGCAUCUUUACUAGUAAAGCUAUAAAGAUUGUUCCUCUUGCUAUCCAUCGCUCCUUUUGUUGUGUAUUUGGACGUUGGGGUACUACAUUA